GUCGCUCCUACCGAUUGAGUGAUCCGGUGAAUAACUCGGACUACGACAAUUGCAGGCAACUGCUUUUGUUAGUGGGAAGUUUAGUGAACCUUAUUACUUAGAGGAAGGAG
rnacentral:rRNA from 1 species